AAACACCACUUCCAAUUCGAUCACCGAAGUUAAACAACAUCGUGCCUGGUCUGUACCUUGAUGGAUGGUCGCUUGGGAAUAUCAGAUACUGUAAG